UACUCACUGUCUAGACUCAAUAUCAACCUCUACUCACUGUCCUCAGACUCAAUAUCAACCUCUACUCACUGUCCUCAGACUCAAUAUCAACCUCUACUCACUGUCUAGACUCAAUAUCAACCUCUACUCACUGUCUAGACUCAAUAUCAACCUCUACUCACUGUCUAGACUCAAUAUCAACCUCUACUCACUGUCCGCAGACACAAUAUCAACCUCUACUCACUGUCCGCAGACACAAUAUCAACCUUUACUCACUGUCCGCAGACACAAUAUCAACCUCUACUCACUGUCCGCAGACUCACUAUUAAAUAAUAUUUUAUCACCUGCUGACUGCUCUAUCAAGAACUAACUUAUCAGGCGUUGUAAGGGGCUUAAAUAAUGUGUCUUUGCAUUUUACAGAUUGUUUUGACCUGGCACCACCCCAGCAACAAGACCAUUAUUUGGUGAGUUUAUACUGACUAGUUCAUUUAGCUAGUGCACUGAACCACGUACAGUGGUUUAUUUGCUGUGCUGUACAGUACAGCUUGUCUGUGUGUGUCACUAAGCCUGUACACUCUGUUCUCCCCAGAGGAAUGCAGUGGGGGAUCCUAUGAGAGGUUCCCUGUUGGAGUCUGACAGUGCCUUCAUUGAUCCCAUGAGGGAAACCUUUCCAGUGCCCCCCACACCUGAGCAGAAGCCCCAGCUCUCAGCCAGGGAGAGGAGGCGGCUGGCCAAGAGGGCAGACCUGCACAAUGAGCGGGUGUGCUCCAGACAGCCUGUGGACCUGCCAGAGAACUACUCCCACCAGUCAGAGACCAGUCUCAACACUGAGCAGCAUGGCAGAGGGCAUAACCACCAUAGGACCAAGAGGCUGCCGGCUAUGAGCCGCAGAACAGACCUGUCUAGCGAUGAAGAUGCGUCUCCGCAGGUUUCCCCUCGUGCCCCAGAACCCCGGGGCUCAGUGGAUAUGGUUGCCAUGGAGCCCUGGAUCAGACCAGGCACCUCAGAGACUCUGAAGCGCUUAAUGACCGGUCAGACCCCCCAAGGGGAGAGGCUGACCAGCAGAGAGUCUGCCGUCCAGGACUGGGAAAGCCCCUCUACCCAUCAUAGCUAA
rnacentral:lncRNA from 13 species